GCACACCAGUGUAUUGUUUUGGUCAUCUGGACAGCAUUGUUAACCUCAUUCGAGUCUUAUUGUGACGAAAGGUCGGAAUGAUGUCAGCCUCCAGUCUGUUAAAGAUAUUCUGUUAUAGACAGAAGAUGUCAUCAGUCACAACUACCAAACGAAUCUGAGAAAGCAGGUACCAAACAUUUUUUUACUUACUUUUUUUUCUGGUAAUCCAAUGAACAAUUAUUUGUUUGGUAUAAAGUUAUGAGGGAAAUACAUUUUUCAGUAUUUUCUGGUAAUUCUUAAGAAAAUUACGACACACAAAUAAUCAAAAUCCUGGAAUGUACAGUGAUUGAGAAGUGUCAUGACAUCACAACAAAAGAUUGUGUUCAUUUGGCUAGAAAAAAUAGUCUUGGUUCUCAGGCACCGCCCGCAUCAUCAUAAAAUUGGCUGCACAUUUCGUUUUUAAUU